rnacentral:ribozyme from 1 species
UACCCAAUAACUCCUCUUUUUACCUCCUCGCGGUACCAGCUAAGCUGCGAAUAACCUUAUAGGGAAGG